GAUGAACGCUAGCGGCAAGCUUAAUACAUGCAAGUCGAGGGGCAGCAUGACUGUAGCAAUACAGUUGAUGGCGACCGGCAAACGGGUGCGGAACACGUACAGAACCUUCCUUCGAGCGGGGAAUAGCCCAGAGAAAUUUGGAUUAAUACCCCAUAGUAUUACGGAGUGGCAUCACUUUGUAAUUAAAGAUUUAUCACUUGAAGAUGGCUGUGCGGCUGAUUAGAUAGUUGGCAGGGUAACGGCCUACCAAGUCUACGAUCAGUAACUGGUGUGAGAGCACGACCAGUCACACGGGCACUGAGACACGGGCCCGACUCCUACGGGAGGCAGCAGUAAGGAAUAUUGGUCAAUGGACGAAAGUCUGAACCAGCUAUGCCGCGUGGAGGAUGAAGGCCCUCUGGGUUGUAAACUUCUUUUAUAUGGGACGAAAAAGGGCCUUUCUAGGUCAACUGACGGUACCAUGUGAAUAAGCACCGGCUAACUCCGUGCCAGCAGCCGCUGUAAUAC
rnacentral:rRNA from 1 species